UACGUAGGGAGCAAGCGUUGUCCGGAAUCAUUGGGCGUAAAGAGCUCGUAGGCGGUUUGUCGCGUCUGCUGUGAAAGACCGGGGCUCAACUCCGGUUCUGCAGUGGGUACGGGCAGACUAGAGUGCAGUAGGGGAGACUGGAAUUCCUGGUGUAGCGGUGAAAUGCGCAGAUAUCAGGAGGAACACCGAUGGCGAAGGCAGGUCUCUGGGCUGUAACUGACGCUGAGGAGCGAAAGCAUGGGGAGCGAACAGG
rnacentral:rRNA from 1 species